rnacentral:rRNA from 1 species
CAUAGGUUAAUGAGGCGAACCGGGGGAACUGAAACAUCUAAGUACCCCGAGGAAAAGAAAUCAACCGAGAUUCCCCCAGUAGCGGCGAGCGAACGGGGAGGAGCCCAGAGCCUGAAUCAGUGUGUGUGUUAGUGGAAGCGUCUGGAAAGGCGCGCGAUACAGGGUGACAGCCCCGUACACAAAAAUGCACAUACUGUGAGCUCGAUGAGUAGGGCGGGACACGUGGUAUCCUGUCUGAAUAUGGGGGGACCAUCCUCCAAGGCUAAAUACUCCUGACUGACCGAUAGUGAACCAGUACCGUGAGGGAAAGGCGAAAAGAACCCCGGCGAGGGGAGUGAAAAAGAACCUGAAACCGUGUACGUACAAGCAGUGGGAGCCUCUUAAUGGGGUGACUGCGUACCUUUUGUAUAAUGGGUCAGCGACUUAUAUUCUGUAGCAAGGUUAACCGAAUAGGGGAGCCGAAGGGAAACCGAGUCUUAACUGGGCGUUAAGUUGCAGGGUAUAGACCCGAAACCCGGUGAUCUAGCCAUGGGCAGGUUGAAGGUUGGGUAACACUAACUGGAGGACCGAACCGACUAAUGUUGAAAAAUUAGCGGAUGACUUGUGGCUGGGGGUGAAAGGCCAAUCAAACCGGGAGAUAGCUGGUUCUCCCCGAAAGCUAUUUAGGUAGCGCCUCGUGAAUUCAUCUCCGGGGGUAGAGCACUGUUUCGGCAAGGGGGUCAUCCCGACUUACCAACCCGAUGCAAACUGCGAAUACCGGAGAAUGUUAUCACGGGAGACACACGGCGGGUGCUAACGUCCGUCGUGAAGAGGGAAACAACCCAGACCGCCAGCUAAGGUCCCAAAGUCAUGGUUAAGUGGGAAACGAUGUGGGAAGGCCCAGACAGCCAGGAUGUUGGCUUAGAAGCAGCCAUCAUUUAAAGAAAGCGUAAUAGCUCACUGGUCGAGUCGGCCUGCGCGGAAGAUGUAACGGGGCUAAACCAUGCACCGAAGCUGCGGCAGCGAUACUAUGUGUUGUUGGGUAGGGGAGCGUUCUGUAAGCCUGUGAAGGUGGCCUGUGAGGGUUGCUGGAGGUAUCAGAAGUGCGAAUGCUGACAUAAGUAACGAUAAAGCGGGUGAAAAGCCCGCUCGCCGGAAGACCAAGGGUUCCUGUCCAACGUUAAUCGGGGCAGGGUGAGUCGACCCCUAAGGCGAGGCCGAAAGGCGUAGUCGAUGGGAAACAGGUUAAUAUUCCUGUACUUGGUGUUACUGCGAAGGGGGGACGGAGAAGGCUAUGUUGGCCGGGCGACGGUUGUCCCGGUUUAAGCGUGUAGGCUGGUUUUCCAGGCAAAUCCGGAAAAUCAAGGCUGAGGCGUGAUGACGAGGCACUACGGUGCUGAAGCAACAAAUGCCCUGCUUCCAGGAAAAGCCUCUAAGCAUCAGGUAACAUCAAAUCGUACCCCAAACCGACACAGGUGGUCAGGUAGAGAAUACCAAGGCGCUUGAGAGAACUCGGGUGAAGGAACUAGGCAAAAUGGUGCCGUAACUUCGGGAGAAGGCACGCUGAUAUGUAGGUGAAGCGACUUGCUCGUGGAGCUGAAAUCAGUCGAAGAUACCAGCUGGCUGCAACUGUUUAUUAAAAACACAGCACUGUGCAAACACGAAAGUGGACGUAUACGGUGUGACGCCUGCCCGGUGCCGGAAGGUUAAUUGAUGGGGUUAGCGGCAACGCGAAGCUCUUGAUCGAAGCCCCGGUAAACGGCGGCCGUAACUAUAACGGUCCUAAGGUAGCGAAAUUCCUUGUCGGGUAAGUUCCGACCUGCACGAAUGGCGUAAUGAUGGCCAGGCUGUCUCCACCCGAGACUCAGUGAAAUUGAACUCGCUGUGAAGAUGCAGUGUACCCGCGGCAAGACGGAAAGACCCCGUGAACCUUUACUAUAGCUUGACACUGAACAUUGAGCCUUGAUGUGUAGGAUAGGUGGGAGGCUUUGAAGUGUGGACGCCAGUCUGCAUGGAGCCGACCUUGAAAUACCACCCUUUAAUGUUUGAUGUUCUAACGUGGGCCCGUAAUCCGGGUUGCGGACAGUGUCUGGUGGGUAGUUUGACUGGGGCGGUCUCCUCCUAAAGAGUAACGGAGGAGCACGAAGGUUGGCUAAUCCUGGUCGGACAUCAGGAGGUUAGUGCAAUGGCAUAAGCCAGCUUGACUGCGAGCGUGACGGCGCGAGCAGGUGCGAAAGCAGGUCAUAGUGAUCCGGUGGUUCUGAAUGGAAGGGCCAUCGCUCAACGGAUAAAAGGUACUCCGGGGAUAACAGGCUGAUACCGCCCAAGAGUUCAUAUCGACGGCGGUGUUUGGCACCUCGAUGUCGGCUCAUCACAUCCUGGGGCUGAAGUAGGUCCCAAGGGUAUGGCUGUUCGCCAUUUAAAGUGGUACGCGAGCUGGGUUUAGAACGUCGUGAGACAGUUCGGUCCCUAUCUGCCGUGGGCGCUGGAGAACUGAGGGGGGCUGCUCCUAGUACGAGAGGACCGGAGUGGACGCAUCACUGGUGUUCGGGUUGUCAUGCCAAUGGCACUGCCCGGUAGCUAAAUGCGGAAGAGAUAAGUGCUGAAAGCAUCUAAGCACGAAACUUGCCCCGAGAUGAGUUCUCCCUGACCCUUUAAGGGUCCUGAAGGAACGUUGAAGACGACGACGUUGAUAGGCCGGGUGUGUAAGCGCAGCGAUGCGUUGAGCUAACCGGUACUAAUGAACCGUGAGGCUUAACCUUACAACGCCGAAG